rnacentral:lncRNA from 1 species
ACAUUCUGCCUGUCUGAGAGCCGGGGGGAAGCAAGGACGCGAGUGAGGCGGGGCGAGUCCCGGUCCGGCGCGCACAGCGGACCGAGCGGGUGGCCCUCUGCGGGCUGCCCCUCUCCAUCCCUCCGCGGAUCCCCCGCCCUUACCUCCGGGCGCGAGAGUGUCGACUGGAGAAGGUGCUAGGGAGCGGCGAGCUGCCUGGGGGUCGGGCUCAGCGGCUGCCAGGGACGGCGGCGUCGCCCGCGGGGUCGCUGCUCAUGGCUUGUCGCGCCCGAGCACUGCGGCCGCGGCCACGGCGGCGCCUUCCUCCUACUUCUCUUCGCGGGCUUCCAGCCGGGACGCAGCUAACGCCCCAGCCCCGCAAGCCCUCCUCCCCUCCGCCUCCCCGGCCGCGGACGGAGCCGCCUCCAGCGCCGCCCCGCACGCAGCCCGGCUAGCGGCAGCCAGCGCCGCCCAGCGCCCGGCCCCGGGGUCGCCACCGCCCGCCGAGUCGACUCCGCGGUGCCAGCCCCGCUGUGACGCAGGCCGCGCCGCCCGGGAACUUCCUCCCCUGCAGAGACCACCUCGCUCCCGGGACUCGCCAGCGAGGGAUGCCGCCGGCCGCCGGGGGCCUUCUCCAGGACCAGGAGAGAAAUCCUCUCUCCGCUUCACGACGCGGCCACUCCCACCCCUGAGACGCCCACCUGGCGGACUCUGAGGGAGGAUUCGGCUGCGUCUAAUACCACCUCCACCCCUCAUCCCUCACAAUGCGCGGAAAACCACAGGCGGCUGUGCGCGCAGCGUCGGCUCAGCCACCGCAGCUCCUCCCCUGGGAUGAAAAAGCACUCUGACGUCUUGAAAGCUGGCAGCUCUCUGUUUGGAAAAUCUCUGCCCAGUGAAAAAAUGUACCGACAAGAUUACUAAGUAACACAGUCUUCUGGGAAUGCCUUAUCAAUGCCAGCUAUUUGAAGAGCACCCAAAGUCAAACUAGUGCUCCGCGCUGGCAGUCUGGAAAAGGCAGAUGUAUAUGAGAAAACUGAGCUGUAGAAAGGUUGCCUGACUUGUCUAAGAUAACACAGCUGGGAAGUUGAGGAGGCAGGUCUGACUGGUAUAAAAAACUCCAGCCCAGUGACUUCCAUACUACAAAAUGGACAAAAGAGAUCAGGUACGCAGAAGGGCAGAAAGUAGCUGAAUUGCUAGUUGUUUUGAAUACACUUGGAAGGGAAGGGAGAUACAAUCUGAAAAACUCACAUUUACCACAUCAAAACAACACCCAGCAGGCAAGUUGACAGCCCUUUUCUAUCUUACUGCUGAUGGCAGUGGUGGGCCAUCCAGAGCAGCCGCUGCC